CGUAGAGGACGUCCUCCAGGUCCCAGGCCAGGAGACGCCGCAGCAGCACGAGUGACUCGUCGAAGUACUCUGCAAUCAUGACAAGCGAGAAGACCUCCUCCACCUGGCGGAUGAGGCCCGCCAGGAUAAUUUACAUUGGAAGGAGGCAGUCUCAAAGAAACUGAGAACUGAAGAGUGCGAAACUAUCUGAACCCUUUCAGAUUCCUUUUAGUCAGUCCUUCAGAAAAGACUGUUCAUCUGGCAGACACCUGACUGAAAGAAAACCUGCAAGAGACCUGGAAUCAGGAGUUCUCAGCCGCAUUUGGAUUUGUGAUUCAUAGAAAUGGAAAGAGAAUAAAUGUUUGUUGUUUUGAG